rnacentral:tRNA from 1 species
GGCGAUGUGGCUCAGAGGUAGAGCACUUUCCUAGCAUGUAUAAAAGGUCUUGGGUUCAAUCCCUAGCACCACCA